UUGGGCUUGAGAGUGCAGAGGGUCAAGUACGAAGGAGGCUAUCUAUCUGCACAUGGAUAAGGAGGAGGAUGACAUCGACCGUAUCUCCAUAAUAUGGUUUUGUAAACCCUAACCAUAAUCGAUCCUCUCUUAACCUGAAAUCUCACGAUCUCUUCUCUAUCCAUUGCUCAUUACCGCCACCCAUGUAUGAUAUGAAUAUACGACCACAAAAAUCUACCUACGGCUACAUAUUGGCACUGCUCUGAAGUUGAAAUCAGAAGUCGGUUAAUUUCCAAGCAGGCAAGUCUAGCUAGCCAAAGUUUCUUUUAUUCGCCUGACCGGCCAUAAAAUCAAAGCAAAGCAAAGUGCUAAUAGUUGGUGGAUGCGGUUCAUUGUUGUGUGCUUUUAAAUGCCUAUCGGCAUAGAUCCGCUGAGGAAAUCAUGUUAAGGAGCAUGAGCAGUACGAUGGAGUAGUGCGUUAGUGAUUGCUGGAGAUCGGCCUUUCGUUUCGACCCAAAUUCAAUGGCUCCAUGAGUCAUCAUGGUGUGGUUCAGUGCCUUGGUGUACCACCAGGCCUGAAAGUGUUUUCUGCUGCGGAGUUACUGGUAUGGAGCCGGUGUGUCCUUCUGUCCGGACGGAGUCCUGCUUUCCUGUCGCCGUGAGAUACACUAGGACACUGACACCACACAACACUAGGCUUAAGUCCUAACGUAGUUUGUAAGUCAGCAAAAUAGACGUAAGUACAAAAACAUUUAAUAAACCCAUUUACUCAUUUCUUGCAUGUAAAUUUAUGCUUUUAUAUUGGUACGGAAUUGACUCGGAUAGAUUGUUUCAUGAUGGUUCCCCAUUCGAACCUUGGUCUUAGAGGGAAAGGUAAAUGAGUCAAGGUCACUACUUCCUCUUCGUACCAUCUUUGUCUCCGUCUCAUGCGACCUUUCUUUAGGGAGGUGACAACUUCUCUAGGAGCUCCAUCCA